UGUUGAUGUCAUCCACUUAUGUCAGCCU
rnacentral:piRNA from 1 species